UAUGGUUCCUUAGAUCGUACCCACAUUUACUUGGAUAACUGUGGUAAUUCUAGAGCUAAUACAUGCAAACAGAGUUCCGACCGGAGACGGGAGGAAUGCUUUUAUUAGAUCAAAACCAAUCGGCGGCGGGUGCGUCCGCGCGCCCGUUCGCCGCUCAACCUGGUGACUCUGAAUAACUUUCGGCUGAUCGCACGGUCCCGCACCGGCGACGCAUCUUUCAAAUGUCUGCCUUAUCAACUGUCGAUGGUAGGUUCUGCGCCUACCAUGGUCGUAACGGGUAACGGGGAAUCAGGGUUCGAUUCCGGAGAGGGAGCCUGAGAAACGGCUACCACAUCCAAGGAAGGCAGCAGGCGCGCAAAUUACCCACUCCCGGCACGGGGAGGUAGUGACGAAAAAUAACGAUACGGGACUCAUCCGAGGCCCCGUAAU
rnacentral:rRNA from 1 species